GACGAACGCUGGCGGCGUGCUUAACACAUGCAAGUCGAACGGAAAGGCCCUGCUUUUGUGGGGUGCUCGAGUGGCGAACAGGUGAGUAACACGUGAGUAACCUGCCCUUGACUUUGGGAUAACUUCAGGAAACUGGGGCUAAUACCGGAUAGGAGCUCCUGCUGCAUGGUGGGGGUUGGAAAGUUUCGGCGGUUGGGGAUGGACUCGCGGCUUAUCAGCUUGUUGGUGGGGUAGUGGCUUACCAAGGCUUUGACGGGUAGCCGGCCUGAGAGGGUGACCGGCCACAUUGGGACUGAGAUACGGCCCAGACUCCUACGGGAGGCAGCAGUGGGGAAUAUUGCACAAUGGGCGGAAGCCUGAUGCAGCAACGCCGCGUGCGGGAUGACGGCCUUCGGGCUGUAAACCGCUUUCGCCUGUGACGAAGCGUGAGUGACGGUAAUGGGUAAAGAAGCACCGGCUAACUACGUG
rnacentral:rRNA from 1 species